rnacentral:lncRNA from 1 species
CCUCUCAUUGGCCAAGGAUUGUAUCUAUCUUUUUUCUCCUUUUUUUGACCUUUUUCUCUACUUUUCAUUUGUCUAAUAAUAAGAUAUAUUGUUGUAGUUAUAAGAACUCAUUUAUUACAAAACAUUAAAAAUUUAAUUAUAACUCCAUAAUGAAUAAGGGAAGAGAGAAAACAUUAGUUUCAAAACGAAAAGAAAUCCGUUUUUUGACUUAGCAAAGAAAGGAAAUUACAACUUUCUUUAAUUUCUCAACCGUUACAACUUUCCUCCAUAAUAAAAAAGGAAUGAUACAAUAGUCUUCCUUGCAACCUCCUCCUAUUCAAUCUUUUCUUGUGAUGAAUGAAAAUUUUGGUGGCGAAGCCUCUAUUAAGGUAUAAUUAUUUACUUUCCUACUCAAUAUAUUUUUUUUAUUGUACAUUGAGAUGUGAUGAAUGAAAAUUUUGGUGGCGAAGCCUCUAUUAAGGUAUAAUUAUUUACUUUCCUACUCAAUAUAUUUUUUUUUAUUGUACAUUGAGAUGUGAUGAAUGAAAAUUUUGGUGGCGAAGCCUCUAUUAAGGUAUAAUUAUUUACUUUCCUACUCAAUAUAUUUUUUUUUAUUGUACAUUGAGAUGAGAAUAUGUUGGUUUCUCAUUUGAUAUGACCCAUCAGUGCCUUUAAAAUAGAAAGAAAUUAUUGGAGGAGAGGAAGUGACUAUGGAAGCUCCGAUGGAAAAGCUCAUGGACGGCUUGAAGCUUCAUGUUUGGUUGGUAUUAGAUUUUUAGGUUUUUCUAUUUAAGUUUCAAUUUGUUUUUUUUUUUUAAUUUUUCUAUCACGGGAUUUAUAUUUAUUUUUCUCAACUUGUGUCAUAGUUGUCGCAGGUAAUUAUGAGAGCAUCAAGGUCCAAAGAACAAGAGGACUUGGUCCUUGCACAAGAGCUGCGGAUGCAACUCGAUAUCCUUCAAGAGACGGUAGGACACAAUUGGUGCCAUUUGUUUUUUUCCACAAUAUUUGUCUCAAGAAACAAGAAAUUCUUCGUAUGAAGUUUGAACAGUUGUAAUAGGUAAUUUAUCCAUUGUUUUAGUUCAUAGAAGAAUCACGACAAUAUGUUUAUUACUAAAAAUAUUAAUUUUCUUUUACAAAAAU